UAAUGGGAGGACUAGUGUUUAGGCCACAGUGCUCUUACUGCUGUGGCCUGGGUUCGAUUCCCAGCCAGGGAA
rnacentral:tRNA from 1 species